GGAGACGUGAUCCAAGCCGCUUCCUGCCUGACAGGAAACGGUGACAGAGCCCUGAUGAGCUUAGUGGUUCUCCAUCUCUGUGGCGAAAACAAACAGGCCGACAAAAAACCUGGACCAGCUCAUCCUCCAGGCUGUUUUGUGAGUAAGAGGGGAGUCUUUAUUGUCCUUUCAGUUGGGAAGCGUUUAGCAGAGAAUCCCUCUGCAAACUCCCACAGCGUGAGCUGGCCUGUCACUUAUAAUCACAGGGCUUGUGAAGUGGUAAUUAAAUUGUGCAACGUGUCUGAGUCGCUCUGAUUGGGAUGUUCUAGCAAAGCAGGCAGGCAGGGCGGAGUUCCCCCGGCUUUCUCUUCCCCCACCCGAAUGGAAAGGUUCCAGGGAGGGAAGGGAGUGUAGCAUGUGAAAGGCUAUUACUGAAUUAACUGGGCACCUGCUGCUGCCAUUCUUCCAGGGCUGUUAAAAAAAACAAAACACCAUGUAAGCAGUUUGCGGCGCACUGAGCUGAGAAUACCCAUCAGGGGAUGCUGCAGCUACAGAGAGCGAAGCUGCAACUUAGCUGGCAGGCUCAGGCUCAAACUUCACAAGGGCCUGGGUCAUCUAUGGUCAUGAUCCCAAAAUAGAUCCAGUUUACUGACCAUCGAUAGUCAAGGCCGGGGUGACUGAGUGAGCACACACCAGAAGACUCAUUCAUGUUGGCAGGUGUUAUCAGCACCCAAGAUAUACUCCCCUUUGACUCAAAGGCAGAAGCAUCUAUGAUUUCAGCUCCCACACAAGAAACUAUGCCUCUUUUGUGACUGGCAACACUGCUAUGUGUGGGGGACUGUAGCAGACCCCCCCCCCAUCUUCAUAUAAUUGCAAAGUUGGUAGGGAAACCACCCCCAGGGCCAUUCCUGCAACGCAGGAAUCUCAGCUAAAUCAUAUCUUGCAAGGGUUCUCAUCAGCAUGUGCGAAACCUGCGUUCUCAUUUUCUGGUUUCUUGUAAUUCAUUUAUUCCUUAUUUUGUUUAUUGUGAAAAGCAUUGCCUGAGAGGGGAUAGAAAAUUGCAAGAAGUAGGGGAAUUCUAAAGAGUAUCCGCUCCCCUUCAUUUUGUCACCACAUACACACUUUGUCUCCAUCCAUGGCAGGCAGCAGGCAAGGGCUGACUGAUGCAAGAAGCUAUGCAAGGCUAGCUACCCAGUCACCACCCUCUAUUGACAUGGAAAAGAGAAAAUCCUGACACUCUGUGCCUCAGGCCAAGUAGCUUUCCGAUGUGCAGAGUCCCCCACCCUAAUGCAAUCAAAGACAACGCCUGAGACCCCACCUGCAUUAUAAAACAGUACCAUACACAUUUAAUGGCUUCCCCAAAUAAUCUUGGAAACUGUAGCUUGUUAAGGGUGCUGAGACACACACACACCCCACUCCCCUCACAGAGCUACUAUCCCCAGAGCUCUGUGGGACGAGGGAUUGACUCUGGGAAUUGUAGCUUGGUGAGGGGAAUAGGGGUAAUUCUUGCUAUCUUUAAACUACAGUUCCCAGACUGCAGCCAUGGCUGUUUAAAGUGCUGUAACGUUACAUUUAUAGUGCAGCUGGGGCCUGAGAGCCUGGAAUUAUUCUUUGAAUUCCAGCUACCCACCACCAACACACCAAGCAUCUCUUAUGCUAGCCUGUUUCUCCUGCUGCGUUACAGGAGUCUGUCCCAUCAGCAGUGGGAUAUCAAUAAAUUUAAAUAUAAUAAUAAUUUUGGGCAUUGGGGAGGUUGUUGCUUUCAGUGCAAGCUUGAAUGUUAAAACAUGGUGAGAACUUGGAAGAGGUAUUAAGCUGCCCACUUGAAUAAAUUUUCGUCUUACAAUAAGAAAGGAAGGGGGCAGAAAAAGAAUGGGAAAUUUCAUAGAACCAUAGAAUCAUAGAGUUGGAAGAGACCACAAGGGCCAUCGAGUCCAACCCCCUGCCAAGCAGGAAACACCAUCAGAGCACUCCUGACAUAUGGUUGUCAAGCCUCUGCUUAAAGACCUCCAAAGAAGGAGACUCCACCACACUCCUUGGCAGCAAAUUCCACUGUCGAACAGCUCUUACUGUCAUUUCUUCAUGCCCAGGCUUUUGUAGUGUUCCUGGUUCUGCAAGGGGAUGGGGCAGAGGGGCAAGAAGAAUCUAAAUGCAUAAUAAAUAAGAGCGUACUUUGGAGAUCAAGGGGAAAAGGAGGAGAGAGGCAGCUUGCUUUCAUCUACUUUGGGGGUUCUCACACGGUCUGCGUUCCUUGAAUCCUUUGUCAAGCCCCUCUCAUCUCCCCACCCCCAGUCCACAGAUUAUGAAGCGGUCCAGUGUGUCUGUAGCUCUCUGACACCCUGCAAACUGGUCUUGCUCUACCUCAGGCUGCCCUAAAAGCUAACAGGGAGGUUUUACUGCAAUACACGAGCCAACCAGAUUGCAAGCAACCCUGUCUGUGCUUCUUUUCCUCUAUGCGAGAGCAGGGAGUGAGCUGAUGUUGUGAGAUUAGGGCUGCAGUCCUGGCAACGCAUACUUGGGAGUAAGCCCCAUAGAUUUCAACAGGACUUAACUUGCUUCUGCGGAGCUGUGGUUAGGGAUGGCACUGCGAAUCUGUAGCCAAGCAGCCCUGAGAGAGCGAGGCGCAGGCACGGUGAUGCCAAACACUAAAAGAAAUGCAAAAGGGGAAGCAUAUAGAAAUGGACUAUUCCAAAGGCUGUGCCCUUUCCCAGACCACAACUGCCCCCCACCCUGCCCCAAGGCUAUACGCAGCCUUGAUUGCAUUGCCCGGCUGGAAUGCGUCCCUGAACUUCUGCAUGCCUGGAAGCAGGAUGGAAAACUCAGAGAAUGGUCUAAUUGCAAUAGAGAAAACUGUUGUUAAGUCCAAGUGCUAAUUUUCCCCCAAAUCACAUUUGAUGUCCAAAUAUAUCAUAGUACUUCUUUAUUACAUAAAAUUAUUAAUUUUAAAAAAAAAUUAAAGUUUGAGUUCAUUCCCUAUCGGGGAACAUUCCUUUUAUAUAGCACAUUCUGAGCAGCAUUGGUGAAAUGGGUAUUUUUCGGGUUCCUGCAAUAGAUUUCCAAAUGCGCCCUGGCCUGUGGUGACAUUUAGCGAAGGUUGCCAACUUUCCAGUUAGUCUCUGAAGUCGAGCCUUUCACAACAGCAGACAUAAGCGCAUGAUACCUUUUAUCUCCAUAAUGCGAAAAGCAUCAUCGAUUUAUUACUACGUAUCAAGCUGCUCCUAAAAGCAUGCAUGUAAAGCCCAGAUUGAAAAAUUGGCACAGCUAGGCUUAUGAAACUGAUUGGGAAAGUGGCCUGGCUUGCUUGUGUGCCUCGAACAGUACAUUGAUCUGCAGAAAAUAAGCAGCAGAAUACUUUCCCCAGCAUGGAGGCUUCCCCUUCACUGAAGCAUUGUACUGUCAUGAGAAAAGGUGGACUGGUGAAAUUCUUGCUUCCAUGCAACUGUUUAGAGGCUCUGGAGCUGGCAACUGUGUAAGUAUCUGGUUAUAGCAUUAGAGAAGGACCAGGUAUGCCUAGGUUCGAAAUAACUGUUCAGAGCAACCUACAUCGCAGGGUUGUUGUUUGACUAAAAUAAGGAAGGAGAACUGUCUGCUCUACCUGACCUC
rnacentral:lncRNA from 1 species